rnacentral:rRNA from 1 species
GAUCCUGGCUCAGAUUAAACGCUGGCGGCAGGCUUAACACAUGCAAGUCGAACGGCAGCACGGGAGCAAUCCUGGUGGCGAGUGGCGAACGGGUGAGUAAUAUAUCGGAACGUGCCCAGUAGUGGGGGAUAGCCCGGCGAAAGCCGGAUUAAUACCGCAUACGACCUGUGGGUGAAAGCGGGGGAUCGCAAGACCUCGCGCUAUUGGAGCGGCCGAUAUCAGAUUAGGUAGUUGGUGGGGUAAAGGCUCACCAAGCCAACGAUCUGUAGCUGGUCUGAGAGGACGACCAGCCACACUGGAACUGAGACACGGUCCAGACUCCUACGGGAGGCAGCAGUGGGGAAUUUUGGACAAUGGACGCAAGUCUGAUCCAGCCAUUCCGCGUGCAGGAUGAAGGCCCUCGGGUUGUAAACUGCUUUUGUACGGAACGAAAAGGUUUCUAUUAAUACUAGGAGCUCAUGACGGUACCGUAAGAAUAAGCACCGGCUAACUACGUG